rnacentral:rRNA from 1 species
GUGCCAGCAGCCGCGGUAAUACGUAGGGUGCGAGCGUUAAUCGGAAUUACUGGGCGUAAAGCGUGCGCAGGCGGUGACCCAAGUCAGAUGUGAAAUCCCCGGGCUUAACCUGGGAACUGCAUUUGAAACUAGGUCGCUAGAGUAUGGCAGAGGGGGGUAGAAUUCCACGUGUAGCAGUGAAAUGCGUAGAGAUGUGGAGGAAUACCGAUGGCGAAGGCAGCCCCCUGGGUCAAUACUGACGCUCAUGCACGAAAGCGUGGGGAGCAAACAGGAUUAGAAACCCGAGUAGUCC